CAUCCAUGAAAAGAAUAUAUAUUUUUUUCUUGAGUAGAUAAUCACCACUACAUUUCCUUCCUGGAGUUUUUGCGCAUUGAGUUGACUUGAGUUCCCAAAGGGGUAUGCCGGCGCUUCAUCACCGUGGCCAUUUUUAUCAUCACCUUCAUUGUUUGGUCAUGAAUCUACCUUGCAAUGGAAUCGGGGGCCUUCUCACCUUGAACGGAGGACCAACAAAGCAUUCUGGUUACAUCCUCACUGGAGCCAGUUUCCUGUGAACCACGAAACUUUCCGUUACCCUCAAACAGGCGGCAGCGAGGAAAAGUGUUCAAAAGUGAAACUUGGCCCUCUUCUCGGAAAACUCCUCCAUUGUCGUGUCCGAGGGUGGAAGUGUUUUCAUACGGAAAAGCCCAUGAGAGAAAUUUCAAGGCCAGCUCGUUAUCAGUUUCUUUUCAAUGGAAACCUAUGAGUGUGAUUUAACUGAAUUUAUUAAUGUCCAUUCCAAUACUUUUGCUCAGUUGAAAAGUGGAUGGAUUCAAACAAAAGAUGCUCUGUCCUGAGUUGUUAAACACAUCUAGAUGUAAAUAGCAUAACAAUGAAGCUGGACUUUUGAAAUGUUGUCUCACAUUCUACUUUUGAUUGGAAUCUGCAAUGUCUUUAAUUUUUAGCUUGCUGCUUUACACAACAUAAUUUAGGGCACCUAUUGGGGGAGAUGAACACAUGAAAACGCAUGUGCACCAAGGCCUCUAGGCCUUGCUACCUGGACCUCAGGCCCCCAGCUGAAGGGGGUCCCGAGACACAUUUACCCUGUGUCAGACAACACAAUGGCACUGCUUUACAUGCUGCAGUAUUUGCGGCCGUGUGAGAUUGCUGAUACGGUACAUAUCAAUGACACAGUUGGAAAUCUCUGGAGUCACCGCAGCGACACGUACAUCAGGAUUUGGAAAUCCUCCUCAUGGGACCCGAUACCAGCAGGCUUGUUGUCAAACACGCUAACAGCAAAAUAAGAAAAUAAUGCAAUUAUUUAUUUUAAGUCACUGUCGAAUGAAAAUAAAUGUAUUUUAAAUUGACA